rnacentral:rRNA from 1 species
CCUACGGGUGGCAGCAGUGAGGAAUAUUGGUCAAUGGACGAGAGUCUGAACCAGCCAAGUAGCGUGAAGGAUGACUGCCCUAUGGGUUGUAAACUUCUUUUAUAUGGGAAUAAAAUGUUCCACGUGUGGGAUUUUGUAUGUACCAGAUGAAUAAGCAUCGGCUAACUCCGUGCCAGCAGCCGCGGUAAUACGGAGGAUCCGAGCGUUAUCCGGAUUUAUUGGGUUUAAAGGGAGCGUAGGUGGAUUGUUAAGUCAGUUGUGAAAGUUGGCGGCUCAACCGUAGAAUUGCAGUUGAAACUGGCAGUCUUGAGUACGGUAGAGGUGGGCGGAAUUCGUGGUGUAGCGGUGAAAUGCUUAGAUAUCACGAAGAACUCCGAUUGCGAAGGCAGCUCACUGGACUGCAACUGACGCUGAGGCUCGAAAGUGUGGGUAUCGAACAGGAUUAGAUACCCUGGUAGUC